rnacentral:rRNA from 1 species
AUUGAACGCUGGCGGCAGGCCUAACACAUGCAAGUCGAACGGUAACAGAAAGCAGCUUGCUGCUUUGCUGACGAGUGGCGGACGGGUGAGUAAUGUCUGGGAAACUGCCUGAUGGAGGGGGAUAACUACUGGAAACGGUAGCUAAUACCGCAUAACGUCGCAAGACCAAAGAGGGGGACCUUCGGGCCUCUUGCCAUCGGAUGUGCCCAGAUGGGAUUAGCUAGUAGGUGGGGUAACGGCUCACCUAGGCGACGAUCCCUAGCUGGUCUGAGAGGAUGACAAGCCACACUGGAACUGAGACACGGUCCAGACUCCUACGGGAGGCAGCAGUGGGGAAUAUUGGACAAUGGGCGCAAGCCUGAUGCAGCCAUGCCGCGUGUAUGAAGAAGGCCUUCGGGUUGUAAAGUACUUUCAGCGGGGAGGAAGGGAGUAAAGUUAAUACCUUGGCUCAUUGACGUUACCCGCAGAAGAAGCACCGGCUAACUCCGUG